rnacentral:rRNA from 1 species
GAUCCUGGCUCAGGAUGAACGCUGGCGGCGUGCCUAAUACAUGCAAGUCGAGCGAACUGAUUAGAAGCUUGCUUCUAUGACGUUAGCGGCGGACGGGUGUAGUAACACGUGGGCAACCUGCCUGUAAGACUGGGAUAACUUCGGGAAACCGAAGCUAAUACCGGAUAGGAUCUUCUCCUUCAUGGGAGAUGAUUGAAAGAUGGUUUCGGCUAUCACUUACAGAUGGGCCCGCGGUGCAUUAGCUAGUUGGUGAGGUAACGGCUCACCAAGGCAACGAUGCAUAGCCGACCUGAGAGGGUGAUCGGCCACACUGGGACUGAUACACGG